AACGAACGCUGGCGGCAUGCCUAACACAUGCAAGCCGAACGAUCCCUUCGGGGAUAGUGGCGCACGGGUGCGUAACGCGUGGGAAUCUGCCCUCAGGUACGGAAUAACUCAGGGAAACUUGAGCUAAUACCGUAUAAUGACUUCGGUCCAAAGAUUUAUCGCCUGGGGAUGAGCCCGCGUCGGAUUAGCUAGUUGGUGAGGUAAAAGCUCACCAAGGCGACGAUCCGUAGCUGGUCUGAGAGGAUGAUCAGCCACACUGGGACUGAGACACGGCCCAGACUCCUACGGGAGGCAGCAGUGGGGAAUAUUGGACAAUGGGCGCAAGCCUGAUCCAGCAAUGCCGCGUGAGUGAUGAAGGCCUUAGGGUUGUAAAGCUCUUUUACCCGGGUAAGAUAAUGACUGUACCGGGAGAAUAAGCCCCGGCUAACUCCGUGCCAGCAGCCGCGGUAAUACGGAGGGGGCUAGCGUUGUUCGGAAUUACUGGGCGUAAAGCGCACGUAGC
rnacentral:rRNA from 1 species